CGCGUAGGCGGUUUGGUAAGCUGGAUGUGAAAUCCCCGGGCUCAACCUGGGAACUGCAUUCAGAAACUGCCAGGCUAGAGUACAGUAGAGGAUAGUGGAAUUUCCGGUGUAGCGGUGAAAUGCGUAGAGAUCGGAAGGAACAUCAGUGGCGAAGGCGGCUAUCUGGACUGAUACUGACGCCGAGGUGCGAAAGCGUGGGGAGCAAACA
rnacentral:rRNA from 1 species